UACGGAGGGUGCGAGCGUUGUUCGGAAUCACUGGGCGUAAAGGGCGUGUAGGCGGCCCGCUAAGUCUGAUGUGAAAGCCCGGGGCUCACCCCCGGAAGUGCAUUGGAAACUGGCGGACUCGAGUCCCGGAGAGGAGAGUGGAAUUCCUGGUGUAGCGGUGAAAUGCGCAGAUAUCAGGAGGAACACCGAUUGCGAAGGCAGCUCGCUGGGACGUUACUGACGCUGAGACGCGAAAGCGUGGGGAGCAAACAGG
rnacentral:rRNA from 1 species